rnacentral:misc_RNA from 1 species
ACCAACACUCGAUGCGACACAUCCUAGUACUACGAAUCUAGACAUAUUUCUAUCCAGAUUCGUUGUACUAUAAUGUGUCACAUACAGAGCUAGAUU